rnacentral:rRNA from 1 species
GAUGAACGCUGGCGGCGUGCUUAACACAUGCAAGUCGAACGAUGAAGCCCAGCUUGCUGGGUGGAUUAGUGGCGAACGGGUGAGUAACACGUGAGUAACCUGCCCUUAACUCUGGGAUAAGCCUGGGAAACUGGGUCUAAUACCGGAUAGGAGCGUCCACCGCAUGGUGGGUGUUGUAAAGAUUUAUCGGUUUUGGAUGGACUCGCGGCCUAUCAGCUUGUUGGUGAAGUAAUGGCUCACCAAGGCGACGACGGGUAGCCGGCCUGAGAGGGUGACCGGCCACACUGGGACUGAGAGACGGCCCAGACUCCUACGGGAGGCAGCAGUGGGGAAUAUUGCACAAUGGGCGCACGCCUGAUGCAGCGACGCCGCGUGAGGGAUGACGGCCUUCGGGUUGUAAACCUCUUUCAGUAGGGAAGAAGCGAAAGUGACGGUACCUGCAGAAGAAGCACCGGCUAACUACGUG